rnacentral:rRNA from 1 species
AGUGAACGCUGGCGGUAGGCCUAACACAUGCAAGUCGAACGGCAGCACAGUAAGAGCUUGCUCUUACGGGUGGCGAGUGGCGGACGGGUGAGGAAUACAUCUGAAUCUACUUUUUCGUGGGGGAUAACGUAGGGAAACUUACGCUAAUACCGCAUACGACCUACGGGUGAAAGCAGGGGAUCUUCGGACCUUGCGCGAUUGAAUGAGCCGAUGUCGGAUUAGCUAGUUGGCGGGGUAAAGGCCCACCAAGGCGACGAUCCGAAGCUGGUCUGAGAGGAUGAUCAGCCACACUGGAACUGAGACACGGUCCAGACUCCUACGGGAGGCAGCAGUGGGGAAUAUUGGACAAUGGGCGCAAGCCUGAUCCAGCCAUACCGCGUGGGUGAAGAAGGCCUUCGGGUUGUAAAGCCCUUUUGUUGGGAAAGAAAAGCAGCAGGUUAAUACCCCGCUGUUCUGACGGUACCCAAAGAAUAAGCACCGGCUAACUUCGUG